UUACUCGAAACUCUUAAAAAACCUUUUUGACUUGCCUUUUUGUUGCUCUGAGCCCUAUUAUUAUAUACUUUGCCGGAAAAAUACAUUUUAUUACUCGUUGUCACUAUCUAAAGUAUAAUGUGUAUGACAUUACACCCGCAUUACCUCAAAGUGGUAUGCAAUUAUAUCACCUACUUUACUUCUGAAACUAGAUAUUUUAAUUCAUUGUUUAUUUAUUUAUAAUUUCGACAACUGGUGACAAUAUUAUACAAAUUUAUAAAACAUUUUAGAAAGAAUAACAAUACAUAACUAAUGUAAAAUUAGUAUAGUAGAUACAUAAAGUAAUGGAAAGUAAAAAAAAAAAAAGAUGUGAUACUGAGGUUAUGGGAGAGGCCACUGUUGUAGGUGAGUAGUUGGGAAGGUAAGAUACAUAAGGUUCUUUAUAUCUGUAAGCAACGAUAAACCAUUGUUCGAUGAAUGAUGAUUCCGAACGCGGUUCGGUAAUACAUAUUUUGAAGUGCGGUAAUUUU